rnacentral:rRNA from 1 species
CGCGUAGGUGGUUUGUUAAGUUGGAUGUGAAAGCCCCGGGCUCAACCUGGGAACUGCAUCCAAAACUGGCAAGCUAGAGUACGGUAGAGGGUGGUGGAAUUUCCUGUGUAGCGGUGAAAUGCGUAGAUAUAGGAAGGAACACCAGUGGCGAAGGCGGCUCACUGGGCCAUUACUGACGCUGAGGCACGAAAGCGUGGGGAGCAAACA